GGGGGGCUAAAAGCUGGGUGCAGGGCGGUUGUCAUCCCCACGGUGUUGGCUGUGGGGACAGGAGCAGGAAGUCCCCAGCGAGGACCUUCUCCUGAGGUUGUUUGCAGGGGAAUUGGGGUGAUUGGAAGCCAGCGGGCCUCCGAGCGUUGCACAGCGUUAUUCAUGUAGCAGCUAAUGGAGCUUACUCAAUCCAUAAAGAUUUUAAGUCAGGAGUUUGAUGUUAAUUAUGGACCAAAACAUUUAAUAGCCCGUUACACUUCCACGAGGCAUUUUUUUAAUUAAAAAAUGAUAUAUUGCAGAAAAGGGAAAAAAAACAGAGGGGAAUAAUUGAAGAUUGUUUUAUUCUGGAAUGACCCGAGGCAGGGAAGGCGAUGAGGAGCCGGCGUGUCGGGAAACGUGAUGGUAAUGGCAUGGACCUGGCAGCACGGGAACAGUGGAGCGAGGUGGGAGCAGCUGAACCUCUGGGAGGAGGGAGAAGGAGCCCUGGGGCAGGGGGGUGGGUGAACACUGAGGGGGUCUGUGCACUGUGCUGGACUGCCCGACCUCUGGAGUCAUUUGUCUGUGCAGCAGAAGACCUUGGUUCAAACCCUUCUUUCUGCGUCUCCAUCAGCUAUCUCUCAGGAAAAACAGCUAAACCCCCAGGGUGGAAAUUAGCCUGGAAUAUGUCAGGGUUGAAGAAAAUCUGACAUGUCUCGCUCUGACGCUACUCCAUUCCUCAUUCAACAUUUAAAGAUGGGUUGGAGCAGGGGCUGGCUUUGGAUGCAUUCAGAUGGGCUGUGCAAAAUGGAAGGGCUUCAGCACAGCAAGCCAGCAUGUCCCGCGCCCACCCUGCCCCCAAACAGUGCCCACUGGCUGAUGAAGGUGAGCCUCUAUCUGGGAGGCUGCCAUCCAGCUAACUCAAGAGGGGAGGAGGAGAAAUGGGAUGGAAGCGUGUCCUGGGGGUGCCCAGGAAAAGUUAGGAUGGCUGCUGAUCAUUGGAAGGAGCCGGAGUAUGGUCCCCACACUUGCCCCAGUCCUCCCCAUGGCUCCAGCUCUGCACGUCGCUGUUGCUCGCUUCCCCCAACUCUACAAUGGAAAUAAUAUUAUUCCCUCCUUACAGGGCUUUGAGAUGCUCAGUUACUAUGGUGAUGGGGCCAUAAAAGUACCAAAGAUAGCAAGAACAAUAAUAAUAUCAGACAUGGUAAGAGCCAAAUAAUUGCAUUUAGGGCACGCACACAACACAGAAGAGAGAGCCACCUCCACGCACCGCAGUGCUCGGGCUCUGAAGACAACUUGUUGCACCAGCGGGCUCACAGCCUAUUUAAGGGCUAAUUUCCAACUCCUGCACCAUCCACCCAAGGGCGAGGAGCAGCCGCAGCGCUGUGCCCACUCCCACCUCCCCCUUGCAGCAGCCACGAAGCGGGGAGCAGUGGGAUGAGGGCCCUUUGCCUACGCCAACAUCAGACGUUCUGCACACCGGCACUGUCACACCACGGCCCCGCAGAUGUGCGGCCGCCACUUUGUUUGACCAGCUGAGCGUUUCCCCAGCGCAGUGCUGCUGGCGGUUUGGCUCCUUUGUCUCUGCUGCUUUGUCUCUUGCCUCUUUUUUUCCUUCUUAUUUUUUCUUUUGAAAUGUAUGGGGUUUUAAUUGAACAAAAAAAAAAUGUAUAGCAUCUGUGGCUGCUUAAUAACACCUGCGUGCAGCAAGGCAGCUUUUCAGCAGCUAUUGUCAUAGCAUUCUUGUCUGUGCAGUGCUGAGCUGCUGCUGCGUGGCCCCCUCGGAACUGCUCAAGCAGGAGCCAUCCUCGGAGGGCACAUAAUUAACAGGUGAUACAAAACAAGAUGCUGUUAAAAAAAUAUGAGCGACGAGCCUUCUGACUGGGGGGAUGCUCAGGGAUGCGCAGGCGAUGAGUUUGUCAUGCCUGUAUGGGAGCGGUGCCUGCAGGCAUCCGAGGGGCAGUGCAUUUUGGCUUUUGUGUCAGCUCUGCACCCCAAUUCUUGGUGGGCACCCACCUCCUUUGGACCUGGGGAGCUCAGCUGGGGCCCAAAUCCCCCUCCCCGUUGGGUGAAUGAAUGAAGUCCUGUUCCCACGGUGGAACAGUUUGGCCAGGGAAUAGAAGAGCAGCACAGCAAACAUCUCCAUGUCCAGCCCUGUGUGAUGCAGCUCUGCAGAGCCCCGUGUAACCCGGGGCAUUUAUGCAGAACCCUUCAGGCACUUCCCUUCAGCUCAGCCGAUGCAUUCAGGCUUUGAAUUUCCCUCAUCUCUCAGAGUACAUUAAAAAAUCAAUGUAAUUACACAGCAAACAUUAAUUAUGAUCAAAAAUGCAGCUGAGAGGGAUUGAUCUGGAGGAGAUCGCAAGGCUGUAGCUAGCCACAGAACUGCCAAAAAAUCAGCUCAGCGAGGCUGAGGCCACGGGACAUGUGGACUGUCUGAACAGCAAGGUAUCCUUGGAGACACCUGGAUUGUGGUUUCUGCCUCUGAUUUCUCCUAUGGCAGGCAUAGGGAUGGGUGAGCUCCAUGGGGAUGGAGCAGCUUCCUGGUCACCACGGCCACGUCCGUGAGGUGAGUGGUGCAGAGCCCUCUCAGAUGUUUCCAUAAAGCACAUGGACAGCUCUGCCUGGCAGUUUGCUCAACAGCAAAGCCAUCUUCACCUCCAGUUUCUUCCCUUAGACCCCCGCAGGUUCUUGGAGCUCUCCAGGGAUGAGGCUCCCCUGCACCCUGUGCUGUCUUUUGGCCAACCUUAUUCAUAGGAAGCUUUCCCUGAGCAUCUAACUCAACUUGGCUGCACUUCAAGCCUAUUACAUCUUGUCCAAUCAGCCACCAAUUGAUCACCAUCAUCUUUAUAACUGCCCUUUCCAUUCUGGAUGAAUGUUACACACUGUCUCGCUCUCAGGCUCAGUCCUGGAGCACAAACCCGGCUCCAUCAGUCCAUCUUCCUGGAGCAUGUUUUUCCAAACACCCCGAACUCUCUCAAUUUGUCUGAAUUUCUCUGAAAGUUGUGAUGGCCAAACCUGGAGAUAUGUAUCUCCUGCUGUUGCCUUACCAGCACUGAAUAGAGCCAAAUAAAUUACCUUGCUGUCUUCCAUCUGAAACUAUUAAUACAUCUCCAGGCAAGAUGUGCCUUUUCUUUCCUUUCCUAAAGCAUCAGGUUAUUGUCUGCUGCUCAGUUUGAGGGCUACUCUGCUGCCUGAGCCUUGGCUGCUCUCCUGCUGGCAUACCAGUUCUUCCCCAUCUUACAUCUGCGAUUUUGAUAUCGCCUUCCUAAGUGAAGCACUUUGCACUUGACUUUAUUGAAUUUCAGUGUAUUGAUUUCAAGCCAUUUCUUCAAUUUAUCAAAAUCAUUUUGCUCUGAGGAAUCUUGCAGCAGCUUGUCUUGCAUCUGCUCUGUUGACAAAAGGUCUUUAGUCCUCAAGGCUAUCAAGCCAGGACUGAGUAGUAGUCUUUAAAAUAGCCAGAAAGUACCAUACAAGAGGCGUGGGGACAACAGAAAAUAGAGGUUUUAGGCUGGUUUGCACAGAAAUGGCCACCCAGGGUGCAGAAACAGCAGGAGGAGAUGGGGCAAAGCACUGCAAGCACAGUGGGAACACUACUGGGUCCUGGGGUGAGAGCAGGGCUGCGAGAUGCUGGGACCCUGCUGCUGGCCUGGGGACAGCCCUGGAUGGAGUGGGGCUGGUGGAGGGUUGAGCCCUGGGGUUUAAUGGUUCCUCUUUCUUUUCAGGCCUGUAUGUGAUGAGCUGCCCCAUUGCCCCCAUGGGUCUUGCAUGGGGACACCCUGCAGCACCAGAUGUUAAUGCCACUGCGUGGGGACAGCAAAACCUGGACUAACAGACUGGAGUCCAUCAGCCAGGCGGAAGGUGAAGCGGCCGAGCUUCAGCUGCACACACAGCAGGAGGGAUGGGGAAUGCGCCGGGAGCGAGAUGCAAACAGACCCAGGGAGGGGUAAAGCAGAGGCGUCACAGAGGGGCUGGAGGAGAAAAUGGUUUCCUUGGGAAAAGGCUGGCAAGCCUCAGCUGGAAAGGGACAGCGAGGGAGAGAUGGGAGAGCUGCUCCAUGUUGGGGAGAGGAUCAUGGUUUGGGUAAAGCUGAGCUCACCCCGGCCCUUGACAUGAUAAUGAUGCAGACAUAGACGUGUGAUAAGCCCUGCUCUGCACACACUUUAAAAUCUAAGUAGCUUAUGAAUAAGUAAUAAUCCCUAUUCCCAGUGCCAUAAUCUAUAUUUAAUUAAGAAAAUAUCUAAAUGGUGGGAGUAAAAGGGGCUGUGUGGGGAAAUGGAGACAGAAGCACUAUGAGAUAAGAUGUGGUGGGAACAGGGACAAAAGGCAAACUCAGUAUGGUCAUGGUGGCAUGGUGGGGCUGCUGGGCUGGGCACAGGGGGACCUGCAGGAGGAGGUCUGCCCCAGUGACCACCAGGGUCAGCACUGAGCUGAAUGCUGGGCAGCUGGGUCAUUGGUGUGCAGUGCGACUCCGUGUUCCCUCCUGUUCAGUGCUGGUGCUGAUGGUGGACUGCAUGGAAAGUGAUGCUACAGCAUGCCCAAGCAGCCCAAACCCUGUGUUUGACAGCGCCCAAAUCACAGCCUUUGAUACUGUUACAACAUGCUACUUGGUGCCUGUGAUAAAGCAUCCUUGGCAGGAGGCUCCAAAUGUCUUGCACUGACACAGGAAAGCGAGCCCUGCCAGAAUAACCCAUGCUGAGAUGGGAAGAGAGCAGUGCAGGUGAUGCCAAGGGCACCUCUGAUCAACCUUCACUUUGGACAAGAGCAGAGUGGGGUGCAACCAAAGGUACCUCUGCAGUACCUUUCUAGAGACUCUGCAGGGCACUUUCACCACCAACAAAAGCUCUUCACAGCCAAAGCCCCACACCUUUCCCACCCAGCAUGUUGCACCAAGGCUGCAAAGUGUGUCUGCAGCCCUGCUCACUUAGCUGUGCUUAUUUCCCUAGCGGGGGGUCUGCAGUCACCUCCGCUCCUUCUGGUUGUCAAUAGUGGAACUGAGAGCACACUUUAAGGGCUCGGUCAAAGAAAAAAAAACCAAUCUCAACCCACAUGCUAUACUUUAUAAAUAGGCCGUCUGGUUUUUAAAUUGAAAAACAACAAUAAUCACUGCUAAGAGCCCGCUGAACAAAAGCAGCCUUAUUGCCACUGGGACAGAUUCAUUCUCACCAACAAAAACAGAGAUAUUUUUCAAGCUGCUCUUGAGCUCCUGAAGUUGCUAACGUCCCGCUGCAUCACGGCAACUGCAGUCAGGUUUUAGCUGCAUUCUUCUCCUCUAAGUGCUGUUUUGGGGCAGGGUGGCGGAGGGUCUGGAGAAGGCAGUGCUUAUGGGGGGGAGCAGGGCUGGGAUGGGCUGUGCUGCAGUGGGCAUAGCAGCAAGGCAAGCUUGGCUUUCUGCUGCUGUUAAGAGAAGGAGAAAAGCACAACUUCCAGAGAGGAGGUCUGUCAAGGGUGCUGAGCAGGAACAGACAUGGAAGGAGCCACGUACCACAUUCUGGAGAUCUUUGCUUCCUCUCUUCCCAGCACAGUGAGCUCACUGGGAGCUCAGCGCUGGCCCAAAUCCAGCCUGCCCCCAACAGUGCCCAGAGCCAGGCAUGCAGCCAAGCAGGUGGGGAACAGGAGAGCUGGAGCUCACAUUGUUUUAUCUGGGUUUGGGUCCUUGAACCAGAAGGCUGGACAGCAUUAGCCAUUGCUGAUCCAGAGCCAGCAUCUGAACGCAUGCGGCAGUGGCUCACAUUGCUGGAUCCCUGCCUGGGUGCUGCUUCAGGCACGGCUGCCAGCAGCCUCGUGCCAUUGGCCUGCCAUUGGUCACAGUCAGAACAAGUGCUGUGGGACUGAUGGGAUGCCACCGUCCUGGGCACACCAUGGCAUGGGAGGUGGGGCUGAGAGGGUCUUCUCUGUGCCAGAGUCUGAAUGCUGCCUUUGGGCAGGAAGCAAGGGCCUGUAACAUUGACCUAGCAAAUGAUGCUGGCUGCUCCACGCUGGAAGAUGUUGUUCUGAGCACAGCACAUGGGUUCAAAUGUUACGGAGAGAUAAGAAAGGUGCAGACUUGGAGGUGGAGGAGAAAGGAAAGGAACAAAAACAAUUUAAUAAUGAAUAUAUUAUGUAGACGUGUCAUGCCUCUUGCCUGCUGGCAUGGAUUAAUAUCCAUAAAUCAAAAAGGAAGGGACUGUUUUAAAUGCUGGAGAUGGAGGCUGGUCCUCAGAAAAUUGCUAGAGGGGCAUUAAUAAGGAGAGACAUCUGGGAAAGGCUCCAGGUGCAUUGGCUGCAUGCAGGGGAAAUUCUGCAGAACCAGUGUCAGCUGUAAUGUAUUCCUGUGCUGUGGGGACCCUGGGCCCCCAUGUGCAGGCUGGAGGAGCCACGACUGAGGUGGGAUUUUCUGCCUCAUCUGUGCUGGGCAUGCAGUCAUCAUCUCCCAUCCACCACGGUGACUGGGACCCCAAGGAUGGGAGCUGCAGCUUUCCCAGUGAGCCCCAGGUAAGGGCAGUCCCAGGGCACUGCCCCAUAGGGCUGUGCUGAGGUGGCACUGUGCAACCUCCCGCAUCCCUGGGCAGGAUUUGUGCUGGCUGGGGGCUCCUUUGCUCACCACAUUGCUUGCUAAAGCAUGGAUUUAGAGCACUGGGAUUGCAUUAAUCUCAUUUUGUGUGCAUUUUCACCCUGGUCUACAGCCGAUGGGAAGGGACUGGGAGAAUUUUGCAUUGUGGGGGAACCAGGCAGGGAGGAGCAGCCCCAGGAGGGAGCAUCCACUGCCACAACACAUACAGAGAGAGGUGAGAAACCUGGCUGGUAGCAAGGGGUGCUACAAAGCGUGUGUUUGCGGUAUAAGUGGAUUAUAGGGGGAAAGGGAGAAGGCAGAAGGGCUGCAGGAGGAAAACCACGGGGAUGCUGAGCAAAUGGCCCACACUGCAGCACCACUGCUGUUUCUUAUAGGGUCUCUUUGAGCUGCAAAGAGGGAAAAGGAGGGAUGGAGGAGGCUGAGCAUUUGGAGAUAGCUCAAUGAGCAGCCCCAGGUUCAAACAGCGGAGUGAGAGGAGCAGCUGUGGGAUGGAAAACCCAAGCAAGGGAUCCCCGGGGCUGCUGCACACAAACCUGCAAGUGACAAAGGCGUGAGCAGGCUCAGUGCUCAGAGAGUGGGGAAUUGCUGUCUGUCUGCGUCUCUCCCUGAUUUCAUUGUGUUUUGUUUAAUUGAAUUGCACACACACAUGCACACAAAGCCCCAGUGCGUGGUGUGAACUCUGCAAGGAAAUGAGCAGCAAGUUGAGGAGGAGGGAGGAAAGGGGCAGAAGGAGAGACCUGCAGGGAGGGCAGUGGGCUGGGGUGGGGGGCACAGCUCAGACCUUGAGGCCGUCUAUCAGCUCUCUACAGCCUGGGCUCCCCUCUGGACACAGGACCCUGACCCAGGAGGAGGCAGCACUGCCUCACUUCCCCUUGCUGCAUAUCCGCAGUGUUAGAUGCAUGUCCAGCCCGGGCUGCAAGCAAAGCCAGGGGCAGUGCUGCUCUGCGAUGCUCUGUGAUGCUCUGCGGUGCUGGCGAAGUGUGAGGUUAAAGGACGUGAGCAUCCUGCACAGGCUUGCUGUGACAGGCCUCGCAUGUGCUUAGUCACAUCCAGCUAUGAAAACACUCUUGAAACCAAGACAUUGAUUCAAAGGAGCAGCAGCACUGCAAACACAUCUGCCUGUGCGAAGGAGAACAUCAAAAGGGCUGACAGUCACCGAGCCCAGCAAUAACCUUUGGCUAAUUAGCUGUCUUGAUUUCCUUGCAGUUUAUUUUUACACUUCUCGUGCUCUGAAAUGCAUUUACUGUAAUGUCAGAAAGGUCAUGGUAAAUAAAAAGCUUCCUAGCAAUAACUAUAUCUGCCCCACUGGGCUUUGGCGACUGAUAGCUUUUGGGACAGGCAGGCUGGCAGUGCUUUGCUGAGGGUUUUGUUUUGCACAGGGCUGUGCUGGGGGCAGUAGAGGUUCCUGGGGCAAAGCAGGUAUUUCUGAGGAGCGUGAUGGGCAGAGGGCACAUGUAAAAGUGCUCCCCUGAUGUGAAGACCCAGGUGACCAGAAUGGGGAGGUGAGGUCAGGAGAGCAGUGAGGAGAAAGGUGGGAGCAAUGCUGAUGCUUGUAGAGAGGAGCAGGUGGGAGCCCUGUAUUUCUGGAAGGAAAAAUCCUGUACCAGCCAUCAUGCUGCUCCUCCGCCCUCCCCUGCAGCUCUUCUAAGCACAGACAGCCCUUUGCUCUACUCACAGUCCUCUGCAGCAGGACCUGACCUCCCUGCCUGCCCCAGCAAAGCCUGCCCCAGAGAAGCUAAGAGGAUGGAUGGCUUCCAUUUGGCCAAGGUCUUGGGGUCAAACUGGGGGGUGACCGCAGCCCAAGCUACUCCUGCUUCUCUCCACAGGAACACGCAGCCCAUGCUGAUUGCCUGUGGGCCUCCUCUUGCGGGCUCCAGCCCAACACUGGGCAGAGGCACGAGCACAGGCAGAGCCGUAUCACCAGAAGGACAAAGGGUGAGGAAACAACUUUCAUUAUCUCUGUGCUGUGACCUCCAGUGCAAACCACUCGGCGUGUGGCUCCCCUGUAUUGUGCACAAAGAUCAGUGGAAGGAAGCAUGGUGCUGAGAAGAGACCAUUGCAUUAAUGAGCAGAAAUAAAGCCGCUCUCCGCCUCCAGAUCAGUGCCAGGCAGGUGAGGAGAGCUCUGAAUACCUGCAGAUGGGUGGCGGGCCCCAAAUAGUGUCAGAAGUUGAAGAGACAGAAGAGCACUGAGUGUGACCGCCAUGGAAAGCUGCUGGCUCUGUUAGCAGAGCUGUGCUGGAGUCGGUAGCCCUGCUGCUUAGCUCCACAUCUUUAAUUUUAAGGGUCAGAUCAUCACAAACUCUCUCAGAGAAGUUAAUAGGAAGUUUACCUUUGCCUCGGCCGUGUAAAACCAACAAGAAAUUCCCAACUGCCUGCAGUGAUGCACUGUCUGAUUUCCCAUCCCACCCUUUCUGCAAGGUGAGUUCAUCACAUUUUCCUUUCUAAACCUGCUCCUGCACUUAGUGCUUACGCUGCCUGGUCAGAACCAAAACAUCUCGGCAAGUAAGAGGACGAGGGGCUUUGCCCUGGGGCUGACAGGUGCCCUCUGUGCCAUAAGAGCUCUUUCGCACGGCCAGAGCCACGGCACGAUGCAGGGCUGAGUAAAGGAGUUGGUACCACCGGGGAAGGGAAGGUGCUGAGCUCCCAGGUCACACAUCCACAGGUGCACACACGUUAUUUAUACCCCCACACGACAGCUGCUGCCUGCAUCCACAGAAUCCCUCCACUGAUGCCUCUCUCUGAAUCACGGCUGCAUAAAGCUCCUUGACAGACCUGCGGGAUGAGAGACGUGGUAAAACCCCCAGCAUGAGGCUUUCAUCAACGGUACAGCAAUUAAUUACCAGAUCCUGCUGCUAUCAGGACACUGCGGAUAGAGCCGUGACGCCACCAGGCUGAAGAUGUCAGUGCUGGUUUGAACGGGCCCCUACACAACAUGAAAAAGAACAAAGCUGAUCUAAACAGCGACGCUUCCUUGUCAGCCUCUGCAAGAAGUGAGGUGGCAGCCUCACAGGAAUCUUCUCUCCAGCCCUCUGACCCCCUGCACAAUACCACGUAGCUACCAGCACAGGCUCCUUUCAUUUGGUCUGAUAGAGUAAACCACCUCUCCAUCUCUUCCAAAGUGAAUAGCCAUGAAAAUGUACAUUGAGAUGAAAGUUUACAACCCUUGAAAAUAUCCUCUUGCUUGUGGAAGGGCUUCUGAGAAAGGAACACAAAGGACAAUGAUUGCCAAGGAAGGGGGAGAUGCUGCUGGGCAGCAUUUGACCCAGCCCAUGCAGAGGUUGUGCAGAAGAAGGAGGAAGGAGACAAGGGGUUGAGACCUGCAGCUGCAGUCACUGCCCUGCAGGAGCAGCACCUCAGUGUCCACAGAGACCAAUCCCAAAUUACUCACCGUAAGAGUUCUCAAACUCUUAUUCUUCUUCAUCUUCUGUGUCCCAAACUGUCCUGGCACUCAUAUUCGUAAUCAGUUGCCUGGCCCUGGGUCUGGCUCCAGCGGGACACUCACUGCUGUCCAUCUGUCUGCAUUGCUGGCAUUUCUGUGUCCACCCAAGGGACCUGAGCGCCUAUGCUCUGCUUAUCUUUGCAUCCUCAUUGGCCAAAAGUCACUUUGAAAGCGGGCCCUGGGAGCCGUAGCCUUGUUGGGGCUCACUGUUUGAAAGCACCUACCCAAGCUGCUCAUCAGUCCCUGCCUCCCAGCAAUGACUGCACCCUCUCCAUCCCGUAUGGCCUUCAGCAGUACCCACACACCCAGCACUGCCAUUCCACCCAUGGACCCGCACGCCUUUCACCAGCACUGCAUUUUCUUCAAAAGAGGACAAACGAGGCUUAAGCCAGAGGCUGGUGGAGGACAGCGAACAGAAAGAGAAUGGCAGACGGAGGGCGUUGUAAAACUCCAAGAAUAAAUAUUGCAGAAGAAAAGCAAGCCUGUGACAGAUACCGGGCAAUCUAGCCAUUGUCCCCAAACCUCCCUGGAGCUCCACAGGACUGCAGGAACUCUACAGCAAACCCAGACAUUGCAACUUCAAAGACCAGCGUAAGAAAAUGAAAUGGGAAUAGGGGAAUAAAUGGAAGGAGACGUUGCCAGACUGCCAACCUGUAGCAGAAAUGCUAAGUCACAGUCUGAAACACUGACUGAGCACCUGGUGGGAAGGCAGGGCCAACCCAGGGGAGCUCAGGUGUAAGCAAUACAGCUGAGUGACCAGAAGGGUGGAGCCAGGAUCCACCCCUUCCCAGUCCUCAUUUAAGGAUUGGCAGUGGAGGCAAAGGUAUUUCCCUGGAGAUCCCUGUCUACCUGAGGUCUUCUAAAGGCUUUGUGAGUAUCCAUUUGAGAAUUUGUACCACAAUGCAAGCAAAAAGCUGACUUAAAUUGUGAGAUUAUGGUUUUGAUGUUACUGACUCGUGAGUAGUGCUGGAAGAACUGCAGUGGGAAAAGGAGCUUCCAACAUGUAAUUUGGUUUUGUCCUAAAAUAUAGGCACAUUGUCAGGAAAUAGUAACUGUUACCAGAAAUACUGCUGGAAUGAAAAGUAUUGUGUUCUCUCCACUGGAAAUAAUCUUAGAAGAUGAUACCAAAAUAGCUAACACUAAAACACAAAGUCCCUGCAAGGAGAGCGUGCCCUGGUUCAGCAGAACAGGUAAAUACGCAGGAGUUCUGCCCAGUUGAAGACCCUUGUGUGCUAGGAUUUGAACACGUGCUGCUCACCGAAUAUCCUGGGUUGGAUGGGACCCAUGAGGACCAUGGAGUCCAACCCCCAGUUCCACACGGGGCCACCCAAACCUAUGUCUGACAGCAGUGUUCUGCCAGUGUUGGAACAGAAAUUAGAGGAGCAAUUCCACUGCAACCUGUGGGCUUGUGUAGGCUUCAUGAAGGCCCCAGACGUUGUGUUGUUCCAAUGGCCUCCAUGAGCAGAUCAUGGAAGGCAGCCAGGUUUGAGCUGGGCUCCCUCAUGCCUCAAUGCAGCAGCUGGCGACCCUCCCUUGCACAAAAGGAGGAUUGCCCCGUUGUAAGCUUCAGAUCCAGGGAAAUAUUUACUUCAGAAUCCAGGUUCUCAUUUUCGCCUGUUUGAUCUCUUUCUUUUUCCUCCUCUUUCCUCAUUCUUCAGUGUUUAGCUCCAGCCCACAGCUCCUGAGUAGAUGUGUUAAAAAUAAAAUAACAACCAGGGGUGGGAUUUUCCGAAGCGCUCGGUACUGUCUGACUCCGUUCUCUUUGAAGUCAGCAGGAGUUUUAUUAUCGACUUCAAUGGGAGCAGUUAAGCCAAUGCUGCGCAUUGUGAACGUGCAUAUUCAUGAAGCGAGCAGCAUUUGCUAAUGGUACACGGAUUCAAAGGGCUGAUAAGAAUUUAGUGGGAAAGCUACUUGGAAAGAAAAAAAACAAAAGCAGUUCCAUAAGUAGUAGAAGCAGGAAAUCCUGCUUGCCUUGAGCUUGAUUGAUGUGGCUGCUGGAGAAGGUGUGUGUGCUGGUGGUAGUGGUGCUCUCCUAAAUGGAUUCUCCAGCAUCCAGUAAAGGCUCAGCACAACAUGGCAGCUUUGCCUCAGUAGAAGUAGGGCAUCUCUCUUCUACCUUUGCCUGUCUGCUCAAGCCUUCAGGGAACUUGCUAUUUUUGAGAUGGCUUUCCUCUGUCAGGUUUGGCUGGAGUUGGAUAACGCACUUAAAAGUUGCCGGGGAUAUACACACAUGUAUGCAUAUGCUCUGCAUGAACAUAAAAUCUGUACUUCUGUAGGAAGGCAUGUUAAGUAAGGCUGCUCAGAACCAGGCUUUAAGGGAGUGAAAGAGGUGGUUUUAGACCAGAUGAUCAGCAAAAAGCCUCAGAUGUGUGAACUGUGAUCCUCUGAGAAUCCCAGCUACGGAGAAGGUGCUAAGAGAAGGGCAAUCCUCGAGAAAAGAGGCUGAAGACAAAAAUAUGGUCCUUGGGAGGACUUACGAUAAUGGUUGCUAAGAUAAAAGUACAUUCAAGAUAGGAAACAGAGGUAUAUAGACGCACCACAUUUGCUCAAAAUACUCAAAACAACAACAAAAAAACACAGCAUUUUAGAAGUUGCUCUUUCAGGGGUGGAAGUACAGCCUUUUUGGAAAUCCAGGCCAUUUGCAAACAUCUUUGGCUGUGCAAAGAAAACAAAUGAAAGCGGCAACAAGGACUGGUCCCUUUGGCAUCAGGGCUAACGCAGCCCAGGAGAAAGACAGAGAAAGUUGGAUGUGAUCCCCAAACUCCUUUCAUAUGUGAAUCCAUUCUCCCAGAAACAAAGCCUGGCAAUGAACCUUCCCUGCCAAGAGCAGCCUAUUGCCAGCCCAGGUGCUCCCACGCGCUGUCACUGCCUUUGGCACCAGGGUUGUCCACAGAAGUGAAUCAAUUCUCUUACCACCCCACAAUUUCCACACCACUGACAACUCAGAAAACAAUUAAAAAGAGAAUUCAAAGGAUCUGUUGAAAUUUCAACGAGGAAAUCUGAGUGAGUGAGCAUAUGUAAAUAGGAAGAAUGAGUAGCACAUAAUUACAUCAAAUUGUUACUUAGCAGGGGAAGUAAAUAACCCAAAAUAUGCGGAGCAAAAAAUGGCGAUGAAUUAGAACUAAUUACUUAAGGCUAAUUAAAAUAAGAAUGGCUUGAAUUGAAAUAUGUUAAUAGCAUUGAACCUGCCACCUACGAGGGAAUUUAAAUAAAAAUGAUAAUGUUGCAUCAACUUUCACCUGAUGGGGGUGAGAAGUUGGGAAUCGGAGCUCAGUCUGCUGUGGAGGUAUUGACAGCAACAAGGCAUUAUUUAUGAUCACUUUAGAGCUGGAAUUUUCUGGUAGGUGGAGGACUCCUGGUCAAGGGAAGAGAGAGAUUGUGUUGGAUAAUGGAUGUGAAGAAAGUACUGCAACAGGCAAACCCUAAAUCAUCUCCAGAUCUGUUCAUCUUUGAGGGCCUCGUGCUGGGGAGGGCUUUGGCUGAGAGUAAGGCAUAGAGGUAAUGGGAUGAUGGGGAAGGAAAGAGAAACAGCAAAUAAGAGAGACUGAGGGAGCAAAAAGGAGUGAAAGAGAUAGGGAGAGCCUAGAGCCAUGACAAAUCAUCACCAGCUUCAAUUACAUGAGCCUGCUGGGCUAUGAAAUCUGCUGAAGGUCACUGGAUUCUUGUGUUUGUAAUUAAGAAAAAAGCAGCUUGCUGGUUCCACCCCAUGGUCCAACUGCCCAGGGCAAGAGUUUGGGGGCUGAUGUCAUUGUCUGGGGCUGCAGUUACCUGCACUGGGAGCAGAGCACUGGAAGUUUGUCCCAAAAGUCCAUGCUUACCGCAGUGCCCCAAAACCACCUCUAUGUUCACCACUGGGUCCUGCCCAGCUCCAUAGAGAGGGGCUGCUAGGUGGGUGCAGGGCAGCAGUGCAGCCUUUCCAUUUUUGCUCCGACACCCUGGUUGGCAUUAGAGCCAAGUGAACAGCAAGCUGGUGCCAGGCCUGCUGCCAGCUGGUGCAUCCAAUGGGAUUCAUCCUGGAGCUGUGUAUCUGGAAAAGGUUUCAAGCCCAAGGAUGGCUGGGUUCCUCCCUGGUGGUUUUGGGUGCUGUGAACAAGCAGCAGAGGUGCUGCAGUCACAUGGCCCUGUCCUGCCUGUAACAGCAUUCCCAGUAUGGACCAGUAGCUGAGACUGGUUUUGAUAAAUCUGCUCUUUAGCACUGAUGUACUGCCUGAGCCCUGCAUUGGCGAUGGUGUAACAAACUUUGGAUCAGCUGCUUGAAUUGUGAUGUGUGGAUGACCACCUCAGUGUUCCAUUCACACCAGCAUCUCAGUCAAGGUGGAUGACAGUGGGAUAUACCCUUUGCUGAGCACCAGGGUAAACCCACACCAGGGCAGCCAUGAGGUGACUUCCAUGCCUCCAGCCUACUGCACAGAAGACAUCACCUCCUAGAAAACUGUAUUUCAGACUACACUGCAAAUUGCAGCAGGACUCCGCAAACCCUCUGCAGAUGUCCCAGCACUGCUGUCCCCUCCCAGGAGGGAAGCCCUGGUACCACCGAGAGCAUCACGCAGCCAAUGGCACGACGCGCCCUCUGCUUCUCUGCUCAGCGUAACGAAUCCUGCCUCCCACUCAGAGCUGCUAAGAGAAGUUACUGAUGAGGAGAAAUUCAUCAAAUUGUAAUCCAGGGAGAACACGCGAGAGAGAGAGAAAGGCCAACAGCAGCACACACGUACCCUGCAAAAAUCCCAAAGUUGACAUUUACAUUUCAAACACUUAUAACGGCUAAACAAAUAACAGUAAUUAUACUAUUUGCAUACUUUGUUAAAUAAUUGUUUGUUAGGUGAAGGGAGCCUGUGUGUGUGUGUGAGAGGAGCGGAUGCUCCAAGCCCAAGGAGGCAGAACAGCUGCUCCUUCCCUUCCCAGGUGCCCUGUUUGCUUCUCAAAACAGUGACAAAUGCCCUAAAAUGCUGGUAGGGAGGUGGAUGGAUGGGAGGUGCAGGGCUGGGGUGGGCUCUGGAGGAUGAGGGUCAGGGCUGGUGAGCCCCCGGUGAUCUGGUGAUCACCUGGUGAGCCCCUGGUGAUCUGCACAGCAGCCCCACUGCCUCCCAAGCAUGUGCCCCAGAAAUGAGCACUGGAUCUUUCAUGCACUGAUUGAGGGUUGCGGAAGUCCCCAGAGAAAGCACAGGAAGGGAAAAGCUGGGAAAAAAGGGAAAAGAGAGAAGGUCCCCUAUCACGGCACCACUUCGCAUCAUGUGCUGAGCCCCUGUGAUGAGGAUGCCCAGCUCCCAGCCCACUUGCCAGCUCGAGGUCAGCAAUUUCCCCUUGCAUCUACGAGGGCAUCUCAGCUUUUAUCUCUUCCUGCUCAGCUCCUAGGGCAGACAGCUAAUUGAAGAGCUUUCUUUCGUUCAGCCUAGCAAAUGUCUUUUAACCUACUUGGCUUUCCCCAUGAAUGGCUCUCUCCUAUCUAUCCUCUCACCGCUCCUAUCCCUGCUGGGGUUUUUUGGUGGGCUAUUUUUAUUUUUAUUUUUUUAGUAGACUUGAAUGAUGUGAACCGGUGGAGAAAGCAGAAGCCUUCUGCCUCUCCUCACAUGGUCAGGAAGGGUGGAGCGGAGCCAGAGCCACCGCAUCUCUUCACACCUGGCUGGAACCAGGUCAGGCAGCUAAUGCGUUCCUUGGGCUCGGCCACGACUUGUUGGAGACAGACGAGUGCUGCAGGCUGGGAGAAGGAAUUCCAGCGAGAGACAUAUGUGGGGGAUGCAGUGCCAGGAGAGCCAACAGCAAGCUGGAGACGGAGAGCUCUGCUCCGUGAAACGCAAAGAGAGGCAGAUUUAAUAGAGGCUUGAUGACUUUGAAACCGUCCCUCAUAGCCUCAAUUAAGACAGGAGAUUUCAUUAAGCACACAAGCAAUGCUCAUGCCCUGCCGAUGGGCAGCAUUCCAGCUCCGGAGGUGAUCACUGUCCGUGUGGGUUCAUUCUUCCAGCAGCAGACGGUGUGCUAUUCCAGCUUUAAGUCCGUGCAGUUCGGGGCGGCACCAGGAACUGCAUCAAACCAAGGGUAUCUCAUCAGGAUGGGGAGGAGAAAUGCUCCCAAGAACUGCUCAAACCGCUUCAACGUGGAUAGUUUACGUUUUCCCUUCAGCCAAAGCUUUUCUCUGGUUUUAUUUCAUUGUUAUUUUUUAAGCUGAAAGAACAUUAUCCAGUUCAACCCCGGGUCUUUCAAGUGGAAAGCAGAAACGCUCAGAUUUCUUCAAUAACUCUUUUCUCCUUUCCUUCCCGCUACCACACUUUCUACUUACAGUGGAAGAAAUAGGGAUAAGAAACUCCUCGUGUGUGAAACCAGCCCAAAAACUGAGCAGUGAAUGCUUUGCUCCAUCGUCCUGUGCAUUGGAGUCAUCUCCAGCUUCCACCCUUCGCUGUGAGCUCCACAGGGCAACAAAUUUGGAGAGAAAAGAAACGUAAUUCCUCCCUUUGUGUAUUUAAAAAAAAAAAAAAAAAAACAAAUCAAGUCAUGGGAAUGGCCAGAUUUUGCUUCAAAAGAUAUUUAACACUUCAUUUUGCUUCAUCUCUUCUUGAAUAUUUCUUAUAAAAGACAAAGGCUUCACACAAAAGGUCAUUAAGAGAUAAAAAAUUGAAGCUCUUCUUGCAAGAACGAGAAAGAAGGCAUCUUGACAUUUUUAACAGGUCUUUUUUGUCCUCCUUUCCAAAAUGAAAAUUAAUCAACAUUGAUUUGAUUUCACACACAAAAGCCCCUUCCGUGGAUGUGGCAUUUGCUGACGGAGAGCUGUUUCGACAAGAAGAUUCCAGCCGGUGCUGCGGGAGGAGCAGAGCCACAAGGACACCACUCUGCCAGGGUCCACAAUAAAUCCCGUCCUUUUUCUGGGUCAAGAAACUCAGAGCUGUCUGGAGGUUAUGCUAACACGCCGGGGUUUGGGGACUGAUGUCAAGAUCUGAGGAAUUCCUGUUGCCUGGAAUAGAAACAACGGAAUUGUUCCAAGGCACCAUUUAUCCCCAGGUGCCUGGGAACUGUCAUUUCUGGAGAAGAUGAACAACCUGAGAAGAUCUAAUAUCUUCAGAAAUAAAUCAGGAAGACGUUUCAUUCAGCUCCCCCUGUGAAUAACGCACGGGAGAUGCAUUAGCCAAAGGUGGGGGAGGGCAGUGGGAGCCGACCACCAGCUGUCCCAGACCAGGUGGAGGACGACUGGUUGCUGAGUGAGGGGAUCACUCUACCCCAGCAGGCCUGGUGUGAUAUUUAAGCAGGCAGUUCUCAUCUCUGAUGAUGGCUAAGCCUGCUGAACCACAAUCAAAUUGCCCUGUUUUGGAUUCCUAGAGAAGCCACAAAUACUCAGCAACAUACAAGACUUCAGCUCAUGCUUCUGCCGGGAUGGAGAUGGAUGCCACCAUCCAUCCAUCCACAUGGAUGUCCUGCUGGCUAUGAGAUCUCAGUGUGGACAGACCCAGAGAGAUGCUGGGGGGCAGGACUUGAGCAAGGUACAGGAUCUGGAGAUAUAAUACCUCCCUCGACGUCCUCCAUGCAACAGCAAUCCAACCAAAGCAUUCUCCUCCACAGGAUUAUGGAAGUCUCCACUCUGAGAGCCCAGAAAAGGGCACUGGCAGUGCUGGACUCUCGCCUGAGCAAGUGUUGUUUGGAGGGGUCGACAGGAGAGACUCCAGUAGCCAGGUCCAGCAUCUGAGGUGCUCAGGGCAGGGACUGGCACUGACGACACUGGGGUAGAGUAUUUAGGAACAUGAACCCACCACCUGAGAGAACAGGAUAUCAGCUCCAAACUUGCUACACAGCAUCUCCCCAGAGAGGAAAAGUCCCCUGGAUACUGCCAGGACACCAUGGGAAUAACCCUGCUGGCAAACAAGGGCGUUCCCCAGGAGAUCUCUGCACAGACACGGAGCAGCAGAGCUGUGCACAUGAAAAUCCUGUCUGAAAUGAAUCCCUGAUCAAGGAGAAGCCACGUUAAAAGGUGAGUUAUGCUGGCCACCAAGGCUUUGGGUUUUUUAAGGGUCUCUUGUAGAAUUACUGCAUUAGCAAGCUAUUACAGGUGAGGAUAUCAAACUGCUAGGCACAGCAAGAAAAGACAUGGAGUAUUUGAGAUGGGAAAGAAACACAUGGAAAAAUGAGGCAGAAGAGGGCAAGAGGAGGAGAGGGGAGAAGUAGAGAUGUGCAGAGUGGAAGGGGGUAAAAAAGAGAGCGAUUUGCAAUAGGAUAAGGAGGAAAAAAAAAGAUAAAAAGAGGAAGAGAAAGGGAAAGAAGAGAUAAAUGAGGGCAAAGACCAUCUCAUCAUUUUGCAAUUCCACCUCGGUGGAGAGGAAAAUUGAUGUCUGGAGCUUUUUUUUUAAUGGCCAACCUCCUGGGCAUGGGACAAAAGACAAGUUAUUACCCAACCCUGGGUCAGGUCUGCAGCCUGCCAACUGCUUAGACACAAUCAGAGAGCCCAUGAGAGCCAUAAAUCAAGUGGGGGCAAAGAGAUCACAGAGAGCCUAGGACCAGGCACAGAGCAGCAGCGAGCUCAGCAAAUGCAAUAAUCACAGGAGAAGAGCGAGCCCAGGAAUGACACAGCCUGGGAAGGAGUGCCCAGCCCCAAUGGGCUUCGCUCAUCUCUUCUUCCUGCCACUCCUAAGAAUGGCACUCCCCCAGAAAUGCAAUUCCCUCUGCAUUUCCUCCCGAUUUCUCUUCCUAUUGAUUUUCAAGCUCUGAAUACCAUUUAUUUUUGCUUGCUUGAUUCACUCAUUCAUUGAAUAAAGGCAUCAUCACUAUUAUUAUUAUUAUCCCUGUCAUCGCGCUCCUCAUCACACAUUAUAUUAUUUGCAUUGCAGAGCUGGAAGAUUUCAGGUUGAGGCAGGAAAUUUGUGCGAGUUGUUAUUACUGCAAUCAGAUGAAGUGAGAAUUGGAUCGGCAAAGGCUGCCAGAGUGCAGCUCUCCCAGCAGGACGCGGAGGCUCUGUCCAAUCAGGGAGAGCUGCAGUCCUAUUGCACUGGUCCCGCCAGCAAUUUCGGACUUGCCUUGCGCAUCCCAUCUCCCUCCCAUCCCACCACCCGCCCCCAUUGGCUCCCAGCAGAGAACAGGGAAUGCAUCAGUACAGGAGGGCGAGGAAUCAGAAAAAGACUUGGCGAGAUUGCACAUUUUCUGCCUUGCUGAUGGUAUUUAUUAGACAACAGAAAAUAGCUAUUUUACCAUCUGCCUCGUGAAAAAAAAAUCCUCAUUAAAUUAAUGGAAUGUGCAGCUGCUGAACAGAGCGUUCCUCUCCCCGUCACCUCCCAAGCUGCCCAGCACUUGCUGGAGAACAGAACUGGGCUGCCAAAAGUAGCUGAGGCUGACGUGGGCUUGUGUGGUAGAAGAGGAUGGACAGACAGACAGACAGACGGCUUCCUGCUCCUCCUGACCCCAGGGCCCUUGCUGCUGGCCCUAGGGGAGCCCUGUUGGGCAGAGGGGCUGCCUUGCUCACUGUGUUACGUUCCCUUCCUGCACACAGGGGCUCUUCUUGGAAGGGAAUGAGACCAGUCUGCUCAGCAGGCUGUAGAUGCAUUUUCUCCUAAGCUGAGGGCGAUCCAGACUGCAGAUUCAGUUCAGUUGCCCAUCACCCUACACUGAGCGUGGCAGGAUCUUAGGGCAAGCAGUCCUAAUGCCUCAGGUAUCUCAGUCAAUGUGAGCUAGCCACUCCACCCCAACAUCCAUCACUACACAUCCAAGUUUGACCCGAGCUGGAGCUGGCCCUGUGGAGGUGUUCAGCUGAAAGUGCAACACCAAGAAUGCCCAAGGCUGGCUGACUGCGUAGGCCAGAGGAGCCCCUGCACAGACAGGUCAAACCCAACCCUGAAUCCUUUCUACAUCGCAGUAAGACAGGAACACCACAAACUAAAUGUCCUCAGUGAUGUGACUGACGCUAAUGGAGCUGGGAGAAUGGCAACCAGUUUAAGACCAAUGUUAUCCAUUCAUUUCUAAUCGGUUUGGUAAAGCUAUAAGGGUUUUAAGUCAACCUUUUCUUCUGAUAGCUGGUAGAGUAUGAGGAGUAGUCGCCAAAAUCCCACACCACUCAUGACUUUGAGGAGCAGAUCCAUCAUAUUUACAUGUCCAGUGCUCCCAGAGGUACCGACACAUCUGCCUAGCUAAUAAACUUACUGCUUCAACGCCUCAUCAUGAGCAACAUCACAGAAUCAUAGAACAGGUUGGAAAAGACCUUAAAGAUCGUAAGUCCAACUGCAACCUAACCAUGCUACCCUAACUCUAACAGCUCACCACUAAAUCAUGUCCCUGAGCAAAAGCCAUUUGUUUUAGGACAAAUAAAGCCCUUUCUUUGAUGUCUCAGCAUCACUGCAGCAUAAUCCACAUUUAAUCCUCACUUGGGUUUUCUGCUGUUAAAACCAGGGAGUUCCCAGUGCUUGCACCGUUGCUCUGAAGGUGCAAACCCUCCUCUGAGGUCCUCUCCUCCCUUUUCUAAGCAGUUUUUCUGCACAGAUUUUUGGCCCAUAGGAUCUUUCCAUGCUUUUCACAGUAACUUCACUCCUUUCAGUUUGUUCAUUUAGCAGUUACAAGGCAAUGGGCAACAGCUGGCCUUGGGAGAUGGGCCCAACUGUGCACAGUACAUCACCACCAUGGAGGAGGUGGCCGCUUGUGGGCUUCAGCACACAGUGGCAAGCUACAGGACUACAGCAUGUCCAAUCGCUUCACACCAAAAUAAAUCCUGACAUAAUAAGUCUUAAUACCGCCAAAGAGACUAUUACAGUCAGUCACAAAAAUAAUCCACGUUGCAAAUGGGUGAGAAUUCCUCUUCCCGGUGGAAUAACAUGGCUCCAGAGCACCAGCUCCAGUCAGAGAGGAUCCUUUCAUGUUUACCCAACAGAGAGGGCAGCUCCAAAAGGCAAACGCGCGUUGCCAAAAACCGCUCUGCUUAAGGGAGAUUUUUGUUGCCUCCUGUCAAAGACUUGCUUUUAAAGCCAGUGAUCAAGAACAAAAGGGGAAGGCCAUGAAAGGCAGAGAUCAAAUCAAAGUCCAAAAAGAUGUCCUGGCUGCCUCCUACACGCCGCCUUCAGCCCUGCUCAUCUUUAAUGAGCAGCAGUUAGGGCAGAACAGCAGCUAAUUGCUUCACAAGCAGAAGGUUCCUAGUUUAAGUUCAAUGAUAAAUCUUCUCCAUGCCUUUGCCCCUACAUCACCCCUAUCUCCGGGGUCAUUAGCAGAACUGUGUUGGUCUUAUUCAGCCCUGGGGUGCAACCUGAGCCAGGAACCUGUGAGACUGCAGCACAACACCUGAAGGGGAGUGGAAAUCAGCAGAAGAAUCAGCAGAAGGAUGUUUUUUUUUUCCCCUUCUUAGAAGAAAAUCUCUAUGGGCAUCAUGAAAGCACCUCUACGGAUGCAGGAAAGCUUGGGGGAGGACAUUCAUGCAGUUCUGCAGUCCGCAUGGGGGUAGUUGUGACGUUUCUCAUGUGUCUGUCCUUUCUUCAUCCAAGCAUGUGGGGCUGUCAUGGGGAGAGGAGAAAGCCAAGAGAAGGACCCACGGCUGUAGCUGGUGUGUGGAAAGUACAGCACGAGCACAGCAGGGCUGUGUUAGCACAACUCACAGGGCUCUGGAUGCAGCCAUCAGUUUGCAGACAGGCACUUUUUGCCUGCAUGUCUCAGAGCUGCUCACACAGACACAGAUUCACGGCCACCUCCUUCCCAUGGAGGGAAAUGAGGAGACAGUAAAUGAAGGACCUCAUCCUCCAGGCCUGCCCUGGGGCCAGCGCACAAUUGAGGAAUGCUGCUUUUUUAAUGCCAGGAGUCUCAUCUCAGCAUCAUUUCCCCAGCUCCAUCCCUCUGCAUCCAGGAGCCCUGGGUUCACACCGACAAGCCGGAGCGUCUCUGGGUGAUUAAAGCAAGUGCAGCCUUUUAAAUCGCUCUGAUUGGGGUUGAUGGCCACGUGGAGCUGGACACUCUGCUCUAAUGAUGUGUGCAAGUCUCCCUGCUGCAACCAACCCUUCCAGCCUGAGAAAAUAAGGAGAAAGGUGGACGGGAAAAAAAAAUUACCCUCCCUUGGUGGGAGUCCCAAUGCCAUCUUCCUAAUGGGGUCUGAACUGAAAGCAGCUCUGACCCCGGUGUGCACAGCCCCAUCCUUGCCCUCUCCAAGUGCCUCUCUUUGCCAAGAAUUGGCCUUUCCACAGCAGUAUGAAAGAGCUCCAAAAUGAAGGGUGCGUUUCCUAGUGCUCAAAAAGGGCUAAACAGAGGCACGGGGGGAGGCAGGAGGUGUCCUGCAGCGACUGACCCUCCAUGUGACAUUGAUGGCUCUUAAUUCCUAAGCCCGCUUUGGAAGGAUUUCAGCAGAUCCUAUUUAAUCACCGCAGCCUCCUCAUCCCGGGGCAGCAGUCUGCCUUCUCCUCCGCCGGCUCUCCAAGAACUGGCCGCCUGCCACGCUCCCAUCCCAGCACAGGCAAUGCCACCAGAGCCACCCAGCUCAGCAUCGUUUGCUUAAUUAGCAGCAGGACUUUGCUUUACCAACGGAGGGCACCGCUUCCCGCAGGUGGGUCCCGAGCUCCCCACCACUGAGCACAGAUGUUUAAAGGCUUGUCAAAACCUCGUAACGAUUUUUUUGCCUUGUUCCAUUAGCUCCAUUUCCAAAGGCCACCACUGGAACUACCGAACAUUUAUUUCUAUUGAAUGCAGCUCAGAAGUUACGAUGUGAGGAGCUGGGAGACAGGACGGUGUGUUCCGCAGUGCCAGCUUCUCCCCACCACCGCUCAGCCGAGACACGUUGCCCUUUGAAAUAUCACUUUUAUUCCUACCUUAGAAAAACUAAAAUAAAGAGAUUGAUUCUUCCA